rnacentral:SRP_RNA from 1 species
GCCAGGCAUGGUGGCGCGUGCCUGUAGUCCUAGCUACUCGGGAGGCUGAGGCAAAAGAAUCACUUUAACCCAGGAAGCAGAGGAGGAUGCAGUGACAUGAGAUCAUGCCACUGCACUCCAGCCUGGGUGACAGAGUGAGACUCUGUCUCAA